rnacentral:rRNA from 1 species
GCCCAAUUGAUUUUCGGUACCCCCCCCCCUGGAGGAGGGGUUAAUUCGGCCCCACCAUUGGGAAUUGGAGACCCCGGGCCCCAAAAUCUCCUUACGGGGGAGGCCACCCAGUAGGGGAAUUUUUCCCCCCAAUGGGACGAAAAGUUCUGAAGGGAGCCAACCGCCGCCGUGAAGUGAAGAAAGGGUUUUCGGCUUCGUAAAAACUUCUGUUGUUAAAGAAAGAACCAUAUUUGAAGAGUAACUGUUCCAGGUAUUGACCGGUAUUUAACCCAGAAAAGCCACCGGCUAAACUACGUGCCCAGCAGCCGGCGGUAAUACGUAGGUGGGCAAGCGUUGUCCCGGAUUUAUUGGGCGUAAAGCGAGCGCAGGCGGUUUUUUUAAGUCUGAUGUGAAAGCCUUCGGCUCAACCGAAGAAGUGCAUCGGAAACUGGGAAACUUGAGUGCAGAAGAGGACAGUGGAACUCCAUGUGUAGCGGUGAAAUGCGUAGAUAUAUGGAAGAACACCAGUGGCGAAGGCGGCUGUCUGGUCUGUAACUGACGCUGAGGCUCGAAAGUAUGGGUAGCAAACAGGAUUAGAUACCCUGGUAGUCCAUACCGUAAACGAUGAAUGCUAAGUGUUGGAGGGUUUCCGCCCUUCAGUGCUGCAGCUAACGCAUUAAGCAUUCCGCCUGGGGAGUACGGCCGCAAGGCUGAAACUCAAAGGAAUUGACGGGGGCCCGCACAAGCGGUGGAGCAUGUGGUUUAAUUCGAAGCUACGCGAAGAACCUUACCAGGUCUUGACAUACUAUGCAAAUCUAAGAGAUUAGACGUUCCCUUCGGGGACAUGGAUACAGGUGGUGCAUGGUUGUCGUCAGCUCGUGUCGUGAGAUGUUGGGUUAAGUCCCGCAACGAGCGCAACCCUUAUUAUCAGUUGCCAGCAUUAAGUUGGGCACUCUGGUGAGACUGCCGGUGACAAACCGGAGGAAGGUGGGGAUGACGUCAAAUCAUCAUGCCCCUUAUGACCUGGGCUACACACGUGCUACAAUGGAUGGUACAACGAGUUGCGAACUCGCGAGAGUAAGCUAAUCUCUUAAAGCCAUUCUCAGUUCGGAUUGUAGGCUGCAACUCGCCUACAUGAAGUCGGAAUCGCUAGUAAUCGCGGAUCAGCAUGCCGCGGUGAAUACGUUCCCGGGCCUUGUACACACCGCCCGUCACACCAUGAGAGUUUGUAACACCCAAAGUCGGUGGGGUAACCUAUUAGGAACCAGCCGCCUAGUAGAGUCCACCUUUCCCG